rnacentral:rRNA from 1 species
AGAGUUUGAUCCUGGCUCAGAUUGAACGCUGGCGGCAGGCCUAACACAUGCAAGUCGAACGGUAACAUUUCUAGCUUGCUAGAAGAUGACGAGUGGCGGACGGGUGAGUAAUGCUUGGGAACUUGCCUUUGCGAGGGGGAUAACAGUUGGAAACGACUGCUAAUACCGCAUAAUGUCUUCGGACCAAACGGGGCUUAGGCUCCGGCGCAAAGAGAGGCCCAAGUGAGAUUAGCUAGUUGGUAAGGUAACGGCUUACCAAGGCGACGAUCUCUAGCUGUUCUGAGAGGAAGAUCAGCCACACUAGGACUGAGACACGGCCCAGACUCCUGCGGGAGGCAGCAGUGGGGAAUAUUGCACAAUGGGGGAAACCCUGAUGCAGCCAUGCCGCGUGUGUGAAGAAGGCCUUCGGGUUGUAAAGCACUUUCAGUUGUGAGGAAAAGUUAGUAGUUAAUACCUGCUAGCCGUGACGUUAACAACAGAAGAAGCACCGGCUAACUCCGUGCCAGCAGCCGCGGUAAUACGGAGGGUGCGAGCGUUAAUCGGAAUUACUGGGCGUAAAGCGCACGC